rnacentral:misc_RNA from 1 species
UAUCCGUAGGUGGACCUGCGGAAGGAUCAUUACAGUGUUCCCUGCCCUUCGGUGUAGGAUCGCCACCCUUGAUUAUUUAUGAGUGUUGCUUUGGCGGGCCUCGCGGCCUGGCCGCGCCCCGGCUUCGGCGGGGAAGCGCCCGCCAGAGGAUUCUACAAACCUGAUUAUUAGUGUCGUCUGAGUACUAUAUAAUAGUUAAAACUUUCAACAACGGAUCUCUUGGUUCUG